AACUUAAGAAACUCGAGAAGAUUUCUACAUUAAGAAAAGAUUUCUCAAGCUGAAUUUUCAUGAUCAUCAUCUGAGAAGGGACCAAUUGCAAGCUCCCUUAAGCUGGUUAGGAAACCAAAUCCUUUUGCACUUGAUAAUCUGAUAAUCUCAGCUCCAAAAGAGAAUGGGUGUUUGUUUCAAAUCAAGCGGAAAAGAGAUAAGAUUGUGGCAAUCAGUCACCUGAAGCUUCUGGAGAGAAGUACAAGAGUGUAGCAUGUCACUGGGCAGAUUCGUCAACCCACCGCAACGAUGAAUCACCAGCUCUUUAAGAGAAGUAAAGUUUUGCAGGGGAAGG
rnacentral:lncRNA from 1 species